rnacentral:tRNA from 1 species
AGUCUAAUAAUAGAAGACUAUAAACUUCUUACUUACC